rnacentral:rRNA from 1 species
AGGGCACCACCAGGAGUGGAGCCUGCGGCUUAAUUUGACUCAACACGGGAAAACUCACCCGGCCCGGACACUGGAAGGAUUGACAGAUUGAGAGCUCUUUCUUGAUUCAGUGGGUGGUGGUGCAUGGCCGUUCUUAGUUGGUGGAGCGAUUUGUCUGGUUAAUUCCGAUAACGAACGAGACUCUAGCCUACUAAAUAGAUCGUYGGCUUACAAACGCCRAYGAGACUUCUUAGAGGGACAGGCGGYGAUUCARCCGCACGAAACAGAGCAAUAACAGGUCUGUGAUGCCCUUAGAUGUCCGGGGCCGCACGCGCGCUACACUGAAGUGAUCAGCGUGCAUUCUCAGCCUACUCUGCCAAGAGUGGGAAACCCAAUGAACCUUCUUCGUGAUUGGGAUAGGAGAUUGUAAUUAUUCUCCUUGAACGAGGAAUUCCCAGUAAGCGCGAGUCAUAAGCUCGCGUUGAUUACGUCCCUGCCCUUUGUACACACCGCCCGUCGCUACUACCGAUUGAAUGUUUU